rnacentral:sRNA from 1 species
GUCAGUCGGCUAGGCCCACUAAAUGCUCACCGGGCGGCUCAAUGCAAUUGCUGCCAAUUAGAAUUAAUGUGUUUUUUAUGAAACCGGGCGAAAACAAGAGCUCAAAUUUCCAGACAUCGCUGACAGCACCAACCACCACCAACCAGUUUCAGCACCACCA